UCCUCGUUAACCGAGGCAGUCUCGUGUGAAAAAUACAACACACGACGAGGGUUGCGCUCGUUGCGGGACUUAACCCAACAUCUCACGACACGAGCUGACGACGACCAUGCAGCACCUGUCACCGGUCCGGCCGGACCGACUUUCGUGUUUCCACGAAAUACGACCGGGAUGUCAAGCCCUGGUAAGGUUCUUCGCUUAGCGUCGAAUUAAACCACACGCUCCACCGCUUGUGCGGCCCCCCGUCAAUUCCUUUGAGUUUUAAGCUUGCGCUCGUACUCCCCAGGCGGGACACUUAACGCGUUAGCUUCGACACCCAGGGGGUCUAUGCCCCAGAUGCCUAGUGUCCAUCGUUUACGGCGUGGACUA
rnacentral:misc_RNA from 1 species